rnacentral:rRNA from 1 species
GGCCUUAGGGUCGUAAACCCCUGUCAGAUGGGACGAAACGUGUAUCGGCAAAUAGCUGAUAUGCCUGACGGUACCAUCAGAGGAAGCUCCGGCUAACUCCGUGCCAGCAGCCGCGGUAAUACGGAGGGAGCAAGCGUUGUUCGGAAUUACUGGGCGUAAAGGGCGCGUAGGCUGCCUUGUAAGUCGGGUGUGAAAUGCCGGGGCUCAACUCCGUGCACUGCAUCCGAUACUGCUUGGCUGGAGAAAGGUAGAGGCGAGCGGAAUUCCCGGUGUAGCGGUGGAAUGCGUAGAUAUCGGGAAGAACACCUGUGGCGAAGGCGGCUCGCUGGGCCUUUUCUGACGCUGAAGCGCGAAAGCGUGGGGAGCAAACAGGAUUAGAUACCCUGGUAGUCCACGCCGUAAACGCUGGGUACUAGGUGUCGGGAGGCUUGGCCCUCUCGGUGUCGACCCUAACGGAUUAAGUACCCCGCCUGGGGAGUACGG